GAUGAACGCUGGCGGCGUGCCUAAUACAUGCAAGUCGAGCGAACAGAUAAGGAGCUUGCUCCUUUGACGUUAGCGGCGGACGGGUGAGUAACACGUGGGUAACCUACCUAUAAGACUGGAAUAACUCCGGGAAACCGGGGCUAAUGCCGGAUAACAUUUAGAACCGCAUGGUUCUAAAGUGAAAGAUGGUUUUGCUAUCACUUAUAGAUGGACCCGCGCCGUAUUAGCUAGUUGGUAAGGUAACGGCUUACCAAGGCAACGAUACGUAGCCGACCUGAGAGGGUGAUCGGCCACCCUGGAACUGAGACACGGUCCAGACUCCUACGGGAGGCAGCAGUAGGGAAUCUUCCGCAAUGGGCGAAAGCCUGACGGAGCAACGCCGCGUGAGUGAUGAAGGGUUUCGGCUCGUAAAACUCUGUUAUUAGGGAAGAACAAACGUGUAAGUAACUGUGCACGUCUUGACGGUACCUAAUCAGAAAGCCACGGCUAACUACGUGCCAGCCGCCGCCGUAACAC
rnacentral:rRNA from 1 species